rnacentral:rRNA from 1 species
UGCAAGUCGUACGCGAAAGGGGAGCAAUCUUUGAGCCGCUGUGGCAAACGGGUGAGUAACACGUGGGUGACCUGUUAUAUAGGGGGGGAUAACGUCCCGAAAGGGACGCUAAUACCGCAUAACAUCCUGCCUUUGGAAAGGCGGAGAUCCUCCCCCGGGGAUCGCAAGACCUGGCGCUUGGAGAGGGGCCCGCGUCUGAUUAGCUAGUUGGUAGGGUAAUGGCCUACCAAGGCAACGAUCAGUAUCCGGCCUGAGAGGGCGGACGGACACACUGGGACUGAGACACGGCCCAGACUCCUACGGGAGGCAGCAGUGGGGAAUUGUUCGCAAUGGGCGCAAGCCUGACGACGCAACGCC